rnacentral:rRNA from 1 species
GUACACUCCUACGGGAGGCAGCAGUGGGGAAUUUUGGACAAUGGGCGAAAGCCUGAUCCAGCCAUGCCGCGUGCAGGAUGAAGGCCUUCGGGUUGUAAACUGCUUUUGUACGGAACGAAACGGCCUUUUCUAAUAAAGAGGGCUAAUGACGGUACCGUAAGAAUAAGCACCGGCUAACUACGUGCCAGCAGCCGCGGUAAUACGUAGGGUGCAAGCGUUAAUCGGAAUUACUGGGCGUAAAGCGUGCGCAGGCGGUUAUGUAAGACAGUUGUGAAAUCCCCGGGCUCAACCUGGGAACUGCAUCUGUGACUGCAUAGCUAGAGUACGGUAGAGGGGGAUGGAAUUCCGCGUGUAGCAGUGAAAUGCGUAGAUAUGCGGAGGAACACCGAUGGCGAAGGCAAUCCCCUGGACCUGUACUGACGCUCAUGCACGAAAGCGUGGGGAGCAAACAGGAUUAGAUACCCUUGUAGUCC